GCAUUCUCAGCCAGGGUACACUGUAAAAACUAGUGGGUCAUUGUAACAUACUAGUGGGUCAUUUAAACUCAUGAGCAGUGGGUCACACACGGGUCAUAUCCACAAAAGUGGGUUAAAUAGUGAUCCAAUGGAUGGUUAUGUCGAUUUUGACCCACUUUAAACGAAAUAACCCGUAUGUUAACUGAAGAUGGGUAAGUUAAACCCAGUAUACAAGAGUCAUAUUAACCUUCUCAGUGAGUUCAUAAUUAUUACUCAGUAUUGUGAGUCUAAAUUACCCACCCUAAAAUAAUUCCCCAGUCUAUAAAUUAUCUAUAAUUAUUUAUAAUCAUGCAUUUAGAGGCACUUAUACAAACAUGUCAGAUGCACAAAGAAGAGUUGAAGACACUUUUUUUAAGAGAUAGACCUUUACUACGGUACUGAAUGCUAAGGAAACCAACCAAAGACAGGUUGAGUGCUGCUGAGAUAAAAACUUUUAAAGGAAGACUCGGCAACCCUCGACCUCAUCGUACUCUAAAAACCAGGGGGUUGACAGAAGAGAGCAAUAAUAAGUGACUAGAUCUGAAAAAACCUUCUGGAGACAUCCUCUGGAUUGCUUGCAGUUACGAAGAGGAAUGUCCCGGUUUGCUGGGCGUAGGAGAGAAUUCCAAGGAGAACAAUUACUUGAACAAUUGCUGGUGACAUUCCAACGUUGUAUAAUUGAUUUACUAUGUGCACUAAAUGCUAAUGCUGAUUGUGUGCUGUUGAUUAUGUAUUAACAAAUUUUCAAAGGUCAAAACAAUCAUACCUAUGGGUAAUUAUGACUCACUUUAUUGUUACUUUUAACCCAAUCAAUAUGGUAACCCAUUGGUUAAUUUAACACAUUGGCAAAACAACCCAUGAGUAGUGUGGGUCAUUUGGUGAGACAUUCAAAUGACCCGCAACCGCGAGUCACUUUAACCCAUUAGUUUUU